rnacentral:rRNA from 1 species
UACGGAGGGUGCGAGCGUUGUCCGGAAUCACUGGGCGUAAAGGGCGCGUAGGCGGCGCGACAAGGCGGCGGUGAAAGUCCGGGGCUCAACCCCGGAUCGGCCGUGGCGACUGUCGGGCUGGAGCACCGUAGAGGCGGGUGGAAUUCCGGGUGUAGCGGUGGAAUGCGUAGAGAUCCGGAAGAACACCGGUGGCGAAGGCGGCCCGCUGGGCGGUGGCUGACGCUGAGGCGCGACAGCGUGGGGAGCAAACAGG